UACGUAGGGUGCAAGCGUUAAUCGGAAUUACUGGGCGUAAAGCGUGCGCAGGCGGUUAUGUAAGACAGUUGUGAAAUCCCCGGGCUCAACCUGGGAACUGCAUCUGUGACUGCAUAGCUAGAGUACGGUAGAGGGGGAUGGAAUUCCGCGUGUAGCAGUGAAUGCGUAGAUAUGCGGAGGAACACCGAUGGCGAAGGCAAUCCCCUGGACCUGUACUGACGCUCAUGCACGAAAGCGUGGGGAGCAAACAGG
rnacentral:rRNA from 1 species